UACGUCGGGUGCGAGCGUUACUCGGAAUUACUGGGCGUAAAGCGCGCGCAGGCGGUCCUUUAAGGCUACCCGGGAAAUGCCGGAGCUCAACUCCGUGCACGCCGGGGGAUACUGGGGGACUGGAGACAUGUAGAGGCAAGCGGAAUUCCGGGUGUAGCGGUGGAAUGCGUAGAUAUCCGGAAGAACACCUGAGGCGAAGGCGGCUUGCUGGGCAUGAUCUGACGCUGAGGAGCGAAAGCCAGGGGAGCAAACGGG
rnacentral:rRNA from 1 species